rnacentral:rRNA from 1 species
GACAGAGGAUGCAAGCGUUAUCCGGAAUGAUUGGGCGUAAAGCGUCUGUAGGUGGCUUUUCAAGUCCGCCGUCAAAUCCCAGGGCUCAACCCUGGACAGGCGGUGGAAACUACCAAGCUGGAGUACGGUAGGGGCAGAGGGAAUUUCCGGUGGAGCGGUGAAAUGCGUAGAUAUCGAGAGGAACACCUGCGGCGAAGGCGGGUUGCUGGGCUGACACUGACGCUGAUGCGCGAAAGCCAGGGGAGCGAACGGG